AUAGUGUAGCGGUUAGCAUGUCUGCUUUACAUGCAGAAGGCCCUGGGUUCGCGCCCCAGU
rnacentral:tRNA from 1 species